rnacentral:lncRNA from 1 species
GUCCCUUCCUAAGCCAAGGCGCAGCACGCAGGUGCGGGCAGUAGACGCGCGCGUGCGCCCAGGGGCCGCUUAUCUCCAGGCCGCCUCUGCGGGUCCCCUGCAACGUGCGGGCGCGGCCAGAAGGAGGCCGGCGCGGAGCGGAGCCCGGGGAACGUGAGUCCUGACUGGCCGUUCCCCUCCGCUCUCACAGCCGGGCUCCGCGCUGCGGACAGAUGCAGAUACCGAGGCACUGAGACUGCCAGCAGCGUGCAAUGGUGGGAAUGUCCCCAAGGCAGAAGUGAAUCAAGAUUCUUGAAUGAUGAGAGCUCCAUUGAAAGAAAAAAGAUGCACUAAGUGAGGAAACCAACAUUGAACACCUACUCUACCAGGGAGAGGCAGAUCCAUAACCCAUCUGUUGACACCUGGACGGCACAGCGGAGGGAGCUGCACCUCUCUGCCCGGCCCUGCAGCCCCACUGUGGUUUUCCUGCCAAGCUGCAGUGGUUGCUGGGAAGAACACCUGGUGGGUGAGUGAUGGGAGAGCUUCCCGCUGGCAGCAGCCACCUCUGCCCAGAGCCAUGCUCAUCACUGGGUGCCAUGGAGGGCCCAGGCAGGAAGCCUGAGAACACUGUUUCAGACACAUCUGCCGUAGAGCCGUGCCCUGGAGUGAGCCUGACCAUGUCGGAACAUCAGAACAGGAAGGUACAUCCUUAA